CGAGAACAAGAACAAGAACGAUAACGACAAUAAUGAUAACAGCGACAUUAACGACGACAACGACAACAACGACAACAACCACAACAACAACAACAACAACAACAACAACAACACAACACAACAACAACAACAACAACAACAACGAAGACAAUGACAACGACAACGACAACAACAACAACAACAACAACAACAACAACAACAACAAC
rnacentral:lncRNA from 1 species